rnacentral:rRNA from 1 species
CGUCACGCAGUGGUGCUCCCGCUCCCGCCGGCCCAGGCAACUGGCAGCUGCAUGCAUAGAGGAGAGCUAAGGGGCGUACUAGGUACCGCCAAAAAUAUAUACAACUACGCAGAGGGUACGGCGCGCAAAGGUGCGUGGGCGAACAGAAACGGUUUCGAUUUAGACGAAGGAGAACUAAGUCGGGUGAUUGGAGGAAGCAAAGGGAGACACAGCGGCACGGCCUUAAUAAGCCAAACCAGAAGGAGUCAAGGAAGACUGGGACAAGAAGAACCUGACGAAGGGGAGGUACCUGUCGAUCGGGGAGGACUCUUGGGGCGCCUAACUUAACUACCCCACGAAACGCAAGUUCUCGCCGUUCUCGGCAGCCGCGGGACGACCGCCGCCUUUCGGCGGCCACCUCGGAUUCGGCCUGCCCGGCUUCGCCUCGUUCCGCAGCAGCAGCCGCAGCUGCGGCUGCUCCUCGUAGGUCCUCGAGAGCCUCCUCGCCCCACGCCGCCCCGAGGCGCACAAGCCGGACCUCCUCGAGCCGUCGCGGUGGUUGCCGAAGUCGGCGCGCGAGUUCUAGCCGCUCCCGCCGAAGCCGAGGCAGAUGGCGCGGAAGAAGGCGAGGCGGCGGCCGCCGGCGCAGCAGGAGCGGCAGUUCGCGGAGUUGGUUGCGUCGAAUGUCCCCGUGUUCGUCACCGAACGACUCCACGUCAAGGACACGCAGGACCUCGUGGGCUUGGACCACUUCGAGCAGCCGAUGACGCGCCACCUGAGCCUCCGCCCGUUCGUGUCCGACGACCACAUGCUCAAGUACGGGUUGUUCUGGGACCUGCUGGUGGAGAAGUCGGCUCGGGUGGGCGGCGAGGGGACCUCCUGCUCCGACGUCUAGUACCGGCCGCGGCGCGCGCCGGAGCUGAUGGAGGUGGCACCGGAGGGCCUUCAGGUCCACUAUAUGUCCCUGAAGUUCCGGAGGUUGCACGAGGACCUGCCGCUCAAGGCCGGCUUCGACAGCCUGAAGCCCGACCGCUCCCUCCCCGGCUGCCUCCCCGCCUGCGUGCACAGCUGCCGCCACCACCCGUGCGUGCCGAUGCGCCGCGGCCUGAUGUAGCUCUGCCCCGUGGACUGCCACUUCUCGCUGCACACCCCCAAGCCCCACCACGACAUGCUCUAGGACUGCCCCGCCGCCAGCCACCUCGCCUCGGCCGGCCGCCUCCUCGUCUUCGACGACCCCACCCACGCCGCCGUGGGCGGGCCUCCCCUGUCGAAGUCCUGGUAGUACCUGGGCGCCGACCCGCCCGCCAUGGGCGACCGCCGGCGCGCGCUCCGCCGCUCCGACCGCCUGGCCACGGAGCCGUUCUUGGGGUUCCUCGCCGGCCGCUACCGCCUCCAGCACCUCCUCGAGCUCGCCCACGACGUCUACCUCGGCCGGGGCCGCUGCGGGUUCUCUACUGGCUAGCUAGUAAGCUAGCUGCCGACACAAUCGACGUGGCGUCUGGCCGUCUUAUGAUCAUCAUCAUCAGUCUUAGUGACUUAGUCACUACUCCUCAGCGCCAAAGAGACGACGUAGGCGCUCACAUGAGGCUACCUGCGACUGGCUCACUCUCAACAUAUCUGACAUCUCUAUAGUGCUCUGUGCUUCCACAUAACUACGCUGGUUAAUUCCACAGUAACGAAAACCAAAACGUGGCAACGUCGAUGGGUGCUGCUAGUUCCGCUUACGCCAAAGUACGUCGACUUAAG